GAUUCGUCCUCUUUGGAGGCAUUACUUCCAGAACACUCAGGGUCUUAUUUUUGUGGUAGAUAGUAAUGACAGAGAUCGAAUUGUUGAGGCAAGAGAUGAGUUGCAUAGAAUGUUGAAUGAGGUAGGCUACCAUUUUGUGUGCUAUGUUAUUCUAUAUAUAUUCAGCUAUAAAAUAUUAUUGCAUCGUCAGUGGAUGAGAUUUAUGUUUUCCAUAAUCUGCUAUUCCUGUUGCCAGGGUAACUGUAGCUGUGUCAAUUGUUCUAUUUUUUUGUGGCCUUAAUUUCAGUAUUUCACAAAAAAAUAAUGUUAACCCACCUAACGUUGCAAAAGUCUGUUGGUGUACUGUUCUGCACUAAAAGAUCACGGAUAGGUUGGCAUUAUGAUGAAUAGGGUCAUGCUGCUUUAAGAGGGAUAAAUAAGGUGGUAAAAAUGGACACCAUAAAUGGCAUUCUCAAUUUGAAAAAAGAGAAGUGGUUUUAGAGCAACAGUAUUUUGAUAGGUUGAUCUUUCACUCAUAGAGGCACCACAUUCUUGUGGUGAUUGGUUUCAUUUAUCUUAUAUGUCUUUGUCCCAUAGAAUGUUUGAUUUCAUUUUCAAUGUCGAUUCUGAAUUUAGUUCUUCCACCAUUCUUUCUCACAUUAAGCUUGUGCAUACUGUAUUCCUUAGCAUAUUUAGAAUUUUAUCAUGCUGGAUAGAUUAGGAUCAAUUAAUACAAUUACUCUUGUCUGAGCCAGUUUACUAUAUAUAUGGUGUUAAUCUGGUUGCAGGAUGAACUAAGAGAUGCUGUCUUGCUCGUCUUUGCCAACAAACAAGAUCUUCCCAAUGCCAUGAAUGCUGCAGAAAUAACAGACAAGCUUGGGCUUCAUUCUCUUCGUCAACGUCACUGGU
rnacentral:lncRNA from 1 species